rnacentral:lncRNA from 1 species
GUGUAUAUAUAUGCAUUUUAUGCAGAUAAAUAUAGAUGUCACUCUCAUUUUAGACAUUAGUAAUUGUGAUGGUUUGUGUUUAGAUGUCCCCCUGAAGCCUCAUGUGGUCUUAGGUGGGGCUUUUUCAGAGUUGGCUGAAUCCAGAGUGUGUGAUUGAUUCUUGGUGAUUCUUACUAGGCCCAAGGGCACUAGGAUUAAGGGUUUGAGUGCUACCCACCCUAAGUAGUUUGAAUAAGUUAAAAGGGGCAGGAGAAGCUGUUAAGGUCCUUUAUUGUUUUUGCUGUCUUCUACCAGCAUGAACUGUUGCCCCUUGUUGCUUUUGUUGCCUUGUGGGCACCAUGAACAGUUUCUCCUCUAUGAUGCCUCUCUGCGGUGUACCACUCUGCCUUGGAGCCAGACAAUUAUGGACUGAAACCUCUAUAAACUAUGAGAUAAAUAAACCCUCUCCCCUUUAACUUUCAGUGUUGAGUAUUUUGUCUUAGCAACAAGAGGAAAGUAACUAACACAGUAAUGGUCAAUUUUUCUCUUAUUGUUUUCAGUUAAUUAAGCCAGAUACAGUGCCACAAUCCUGUAAUCCCAGCGACUUGGGAGUCUGAGGUAGGAGACCAUCCUGAGCAAUGUAACAAGGCCCUGUCUGAAGUGGGGUUUUUUUGGUACUGGGGAUUGAACUCGGGUCCUUGUGCUUGCACAGCAGGUGGUGAAACCACUGAGCUAAAUCCCUGGCCCUGAAGUUGUUUUUUAAGGGCUGGGGUUGUGGCUUAAUGGUGUACCAUCUCUAGGUUCAGUUUCUAGCACUGAAAAAAACCCAGACUGACCUGUCUUAUAAGGCUUCCAGAAGAUUCAUCCCUGUAGAAGCACAGUUGUGCAGAUGGACACUGGGACUGGAACCAAACUCAGAGUUCAAGCUGUUAUAGGGCCAGCUAAAACCUCAAUGGUCCAGUGAUACUGUGAUGCUCCAAGGCAGGAUUACACCAGCUGAAGACAUCUUGAGAAGGAACAAAAUCUUCAUCUGCAUAGUUCCUCAUUAUUCUAGGAUUAUCAUUGUCCCCCUCUGAGACAUCUGUUACUCCUGAUGUACUGAAUAAAGGUGUGGCAAGCUUUGCUGCCCAGAGCAGAUUGAUCAGGCCCAAAGUUCAACUUCUUCUCUAAGUCUCAUUUUCUAUUAAUUAAUUUUCCUUGUGCUAUUGUGGCUCACCGGAGUCUAAGAUUCACUGCAGAAGUUCUAGUAACAUCCCCUUACCCUAUUGCCUAUAAGCUUGAUCCUCAGCAACACACACAAACACACACACACACACAGAAUGUGAGCACAUGUUCUGUAGCUGGUGCCUGCACAUCUCCCUUAAAUGUACUAAAACUUGCCCAGUUUGUUUGAAAAAAAUCAACCAGCAUCAGUAUUUGCUGGGUUUUCCCACUGUGCAGGCA